rnacentral:misc_RNA from 1 species
UAAAAAAAUAAAAAAUAAAAAAAAGCAAAUUGGAGACAUCAUUAUUAAAGUUAAAAUAAGCUAUGAUGAUAUAACUUAGCAAAAGAUAUUGCAUGAUCACAACUAGUGACUCUCAGAGGAUAUUGUAGAUGUUUAAAAUUAACUUUAAUUAAUUACCACUAUUUGAAAACUCUGUUCCUUUCUAUUUCUCUUCAUCAAUUCUUUUUUUUUUUUCAUUUGGGUGGUUGGAGACUUGGAGGGGUUGGAUAUGAAGGUUGAGAAACGAAAUGAAGCGUGAGUUGCAGAAGAGAAGCAAGAAUUUA